UAGAGUUUGAUCAUGGCUCAGGAUGAACGCUGGCGGCGUGCUUAACACAUGCAAGUCGAACGGUGAAGCAGAGCUUGCUCUGUGGAUCAGUGGCGAACGGGUGAGUAACACGUGAGCAAUCUGCCCCUGACUCUGGGAUAAGCGCUGGAAACGGCGUCUAAUACCGGAUACGAGCUGCGAAGGCAUCUUCAGCAGUUGGAAAGAAUUUCGGUCAGGGAUGAGCUCGCGGCCUAUCAGCUUGUUGGUGAGGUAAUGGCUCACCAAGGCGUCGACGGGUAGCCGGCCUGAGAGGGUGACCGGCCACACUGGGACUGAGACACGGCCCAGACUCCUACGGGAGGCAGCAGUGGGGAAUAUUGCACAAUGGGCGGAAGCCUGAUGCAGCAACGCCGCGUGAGGGAUGACGGCCUUCGGGUUGUAAACCUCUUUAGCAGGGAAGAAUGCGAAAGUGA
rnacentral:rRNA from 1 species